AUGGCGAGUGGCAACAGGAAGGUCACUAUCCAGCUGGUGGACGACGGGGCCGCGGCUGGAGCUGGGGGCCCACAGCUCUUUAAGGGUCAGAACUACGAAGCCAUCCGAGCAGCUUGCCUGGAUUCCGGGAUCCUGUUUCGUGACCCUUGCUUCCCUGCUGGCCCUGAUGCCCUUGGCUAUGACAAGCUGGGACCUGACUCAGAGAAGGCCAAAGGGGUGGAAUGGAAGAGGCCUCAUGAGUUUUGUGCCGAGCCCCAGUUCAUCUGUGAAGACAUGAGUAGAACAGAUGUGUGCCAGGGCAGCUUGGGAAACUGCUGGCUUCUAGCAGCGGCUGCCUCUCUCACGCUGUACCCCAGACUCCUGUACCGGGUGGUCCCCCCUGGGCAAGGCUUCCAAGAUGGCUAUGCUGGGGUUUUCCACUUUCAGCUCUGGCAGUUUGGCCGAUGGGUGGAUGUGGUGGUGGACGACAAACUGCCUGUGCGUGACGGGAAGCUGCUCUUUGUGCGCUCAGAACAAAGGAACGAGUUCUGGGCCCCUCUACUGGAAAAGGCCUAUGCCAAGCUCCACGGCUCCUAUGAGGUAAUGCGAGGAGGUCACAUGAACGAGGCAUUUGUGGACUUUACGGGAGGCGUGGGCGAGGUCCUCUACUUGAGACAGAACACCCCAGGUGUCUUUGCCGCCCUUCGCCAUGCCCUGGCCAAGGAGUCCCUUGUGGGUGCCACUGCCCUGAGUGAUCGGGGUGAGAUCCGCACAGAUGAAGGGCUUGUGAAAGGACAUGCUUAUUCUGUCACAGGCACACACAAGAUGUCUCUGGGCUUCACCAAGGUGCGGCUGCUGCGGCUGAGGAACCCCUGGGGCCGCGUGGAGUGGUCCGGGCCCUGGAGCGACAGCUGCCCACGCUGGGACAUGCUCCCCUCUGAGUGGAGAGAUGCCCUGCUUGUGAAAAAGGAGGAUGGCGAGUUCUGGAUGGAGCUUCAGGACUUCCUCACGCACUUCAACACGGUCCAGAUUUGUUCACUGAGCCCUGAGGUGUUGGGCCCCAGCCCGGCUGGUGGCGGCUGGCACAUUCACACCUUCCAGGGCCGCUGGGUGCGCGGCUUCAACUCCGGUGGGAGUCAGCCCAGCGCUGAAAACUUCUGGACCAAUCCCCAGUUCCGGCUGACACUGCUGGAGCCGGAUGAGGAAGAGGAUGAAGAUGAUGAAGAGGGACCCUGGGGAGGCUGGGGAGCUGCAGGGGCACGGCCAGCGAGAGGAGGCCGAGUCCCCAAGUGCACGGUCCUACUGUCACUCAUCCAACGCAACCGCCGGUGUCUGAGGGCCAAGGGCCUCACUUACCUCACUGUGGGCUUCCACGUGUUCCAGAUCCCGGAGGAGCUGCUGGGCCUCUGGGACUCUCCGCGCAGCCGCGCGCUCUUACCGGGACUGCUGCGCGCCGACCGCUCGGUUUUCUGUGCCCGCCGCGACGUGAGCCGACGCUGCCGCCUGCCGCCCGGCCACUACCUGGUGGUGCCCAGCGCCUCGCGCGUGGGCGAUGAAGCCGACUUCACGCUGCGCAUCUUCUCGGAGCGCAGCCACACCGCAGUGGAGAUCGAUGACGUGAUCAGCGCGGACCUGGACGCCCUCCAGGCCCCCUACAAGCCUCUGGAGCUGGAGUUGGCACAGCUAUUUUUGGAGCUGGCUGGAGAGCUAGGAACAACACCAGGACCUCUGGAGAGAUUGGCCUUAGGACCUGCGAACAGCUUGUGCAGUGUUUUGGGCGUGGGCAAAGAUUGGCCCUAUACCACUUCCAGGAACUCUGGGGCCAUCUCCUGUCAUGGCAGGCCACAUUUGACAAGUUCGAUGAAGAUGCUUCUGGGACAAUGAACUCCUGUGAACUGAGGCUGGCACUGACUGCCGCAGGUGUGGCUGGGGACCUGGAAUGGCCGUAGGGACAGCACCCAGUCCUCAGAAUCUUGUCUGCACCCCUCAGCUGUGGCCAUCCCUAAUGGUCCCAGGGACCAGUGCCAAUUUCCUCUGACCACUCUUUUCUGCGACAUGGCUAAUGUGUAGUGUGGCAAGGAGCCCACAGGGUGCCACUGGACAGCCACAGAACACCCCAGCACCUUCUGAGACUACUGCGCUACAGCAGAGGAAGGAAACCCCACCCUAAGCCAUAGGGAAAUGUAUACUAGGGUGUGAUUAUGGAGAUCCCAGAAGACGAGUCAGUUCCAUGACUCCGCCUGGGUUCACCUGUGACCACUAAGUAGGAGCUGGGGCAGGCAGGGGGUGGAUGUGAGAGAGAUGACACUAUAAAUAUGAGACCUGGAAUGAGCCAGUGUCUGGGGACAGGGAAGACAUGGUCCCAGGGAAUCAUGGUAGAAGGUGGGGGCCAGGGUGCUGAACAAGCAGUGGGACACAGGACAGAGGGAACUGGAUUGUCCAUCCACUCGUUCCAGAGUGCCAGGCACAUGCCAAAGGUCGUUUUGGAUAGGAGUCUGAGAAGGUCUGCUAGCGAAUUCUGCAGUUCUAACCGGUUGACCGAGGGCUCUUGGCUAUCGCAUCUGGGCCAGCAAAUCUCAAUACUCAAGGGUACAUGAACAUCAGAGGGACACCGACCUGCCUCAGGCCACCAGAGGCAUGGUGUGUGUGGGGGAGGGUAGCAUUUGUUGAAUGAGUACACAAAGGUACCAUGCAAACUUUGAGACUGUGUGGGGCACAUGGAAGUUGGGAGGGCCAAGUCCUUAGAAACCAGUUGCAUUGUGGUCCUACAGCAGAUGCGACAGAGCCAAUGUCUAGACUUUAGGUGUAGCCUCAGAAGAGGAGUCACACUGCAGUGUUCUCUGGUACCCAGGCAGGGAGACAGUCCUUCAACCUUCGAAGGAGCAACCUGCUGGCACCUUGAGAGGUAGCCUAAGUGACCUAAGUGUCGUGAAGGGCUGGGGAUGCAGCUCAGUGGGAAAGCUGCUGCAGAGAGCCUAGCAGUGAGGGGCUGCAGGGUAAGUGCAGCGGAGAGAGCAUGUGCUUAGCCUGUGCGAGCCACCCAGGGUUCCAUCCCCAACACUCCAAAACAGCGACAAAACCCCAGCUCAGCUGGACAAAACCCCCAGCUCAGCUGGAGAGCGCUGAGAUGCCCUGAGCUUUCCUAUCAAGUACCACAAACACCACAGGCUACACUCCUGGCACCUGGAAGGAGGGGGCAGGAGACUCGGGAGCUGAUGACCGCCCCUGGCUGUGUAAAAGGAGGUGGAGGCCAGCUUCUUUCAAACACAGCACAACACAGCACACUGCAUGGUGUCUUUGGUAAGGUACUUGCAACAAAAGUGUGAGGGCCAGAGUUCAGAUCCCCAGCACCCACGUGAAGGCCAAGUGACUUCAGAGGAAGCUGGCUAGCUAGAAAAACUGGUUUGAGUUCUGGAUCUCAGUGAGACCCUGCCUCAAUGUAUAAAGGAGUAAUUGGUAAGAUGCUUCCGACUGUACACUUGCCCACACAAGUGAACGUACUAUAAACACCCACCCCCAACAUUAAAAUGAGAAGCAACAUGGCGAGGGGCAUACUGUAAACACAGUAAACAAGGCAACCUCCUCGCAGGCUUCCACCUGAACAACCAGCUGACCCAGGCUCUCACUAGCCGCUACCGAAACAGCCGGCUCCGCGUGGACUUCGAGCACUUUGUGUGUUGUGCAGCCCGGCUCACCUGCAUCUUCCGCCACUGCUGCCAACACCUGGAUGGCGGCGAG